GUGCAGCGCCGCGGUAAUACCGGCAGCCCGAGUGAUGGCCGAUCUUAUUGGGCCUGAAGCGUCCGUAGCUGGCUGCGCAAGUCCGUCGGGAAAUCCGCUCGCCCAACGAGUGGGCGUCCGACGGAAACUGCACAGCUUGGGACCGGAAGGCUCGAAGGGUACGUUCGGGGUAGGAGUGAAAUCCUAUAAUCCCGCACGGACCACCGAUGGCGAAAGCACUUCGAGAAAACGGAUCCGACAGUGAGGGACGAAAGCCAGGGUCUCCAACCGGAUUAGAUACCCUUGUCGUC
rnacentral:rRNA from 1 species